GGUUAAGCGACUAAGCGUACACGGUGGAUGCCCUGGCAGUCAGAGGCGAUGAAGGACGUGCUAAUCUGCGAUAAGCGUCGGUAAGGUGAUAUGAACCGUUAUAACCGGCGAUUUCCGAAUGGGGAAACCCAGUGUGUUUCGACACACUAUCAUUAACUGAAUCCAUAGGUUAAUGAGGCGAACCGGGGGAACUGAAACAUCUAAGUACCCCGAGGAAAAGAAAUCAACCGAGAUUCCCCCAGUAGCGGCGAGCGAACGGGGAGCAGCCCAGAGCCUGAAUCAGUGUGUGUGUUAGUGGAAGCGUCUGGAAAGGCGCGCGAUACAGGGUGACAGCCCCGUACACAAAAAUACACAUACUGUGAGCUCGAUGAGUAGGGCGGGACACGUGGUAUCCUGUCUGAAUA
rnacentral:rRNA from 1 species